GCGGCAGGGUCUGGGCUCGGGGGGGGGGGGCAGCGCAGCAGCCAAGCCUGCGGCACGGGUGCCCCGCGGCAGGCCCUGCAGCCUGGAGCUGGACCCAGCAGCCACCGGCCGGAGGCAAAACCAGAAGUUGGGCCCCAGCCCAGCCGGUGGUUCCCCGCCCAUGGACUGCACUGGGGAUCCACCCACAGAGCUCAGUGCAGGAUCAAGGUCCCAGUACCUUGCUGAUUAUACUUGAAAACCCAGGCCCAGAGCCACAGAGCCAUUCAUCCAGCUCUCGUCCUGAUGCUGAGCACUCACCAAGCAGCUAUAACCUGGCAGCCAAGGGUAGGUUUGAGCAAAUUACAUGUUAAAGGCAAAUGUUAAACUUAAGACACAUUUUGCAUCUGUUUUUUCCAGAAUAAAACUUCAUAGAUUUUAGGGAGUAAAAGCAAAACUAAGAUUGACAGACAAUGUAACAUUGGCAGUUGACAUCAUCACCAAAAAAAAAAAGCGUACGAAUUGAUAACUUACAGUUUUCUUUUCUGUGUACCACACCUUUAAGGUUGCUAGUAGUCUGCUGUCUGCAAAGGCCCUUGACAUUUUGUGAGGCUAAACUGACAGUGUGUUAUGGAGCCAGAGACGCACAACAAACUGCACUGUCUAACCGGGACUUUGCUUUUAUUCCUCAGUCUUUGUAAACAUCAUUUAGUCUAGAAAUACAGUCUGUGGCUGGGGAUGGAAAACAUAGCA